rnacentral:rRNA from 1 species
GACGAACGCUGGCGGCGUGCCUAAUACAUGCAAGUCGAACGCAGUGGGGACGGGUGAGUAACACGUGGGUAACCUCCCAUCAGAGGGGAUAACACUUGGAAACAGGUGCUAAACCGAUACUGAUGGAUGGACCCGCGGUGCAUUAGCUAGUUGGUGGGGUAACGGCCCACCAAUGCCACGACGCAUAGCGGACCUGUGGGAGUGAUAGGCCAAACUGGGACUGGGACACGGCCCGGAUUCCUGCGGGAGGCAGCAGUAGGGAAGCUGCGGCAAUGGACGAAAGUCUGACCGAGCAACGCCGCGUGAGUGAAGAAGGUUUUCGGAUCGUAAAACUCUGUUGUUAGAGAAGCGGUAUCUAACCAGAAAGCCACGGCUAACUACGUGCCAGCCGCCGCGGUAAUUC